CCGUAGAGUUUGAUCCAUGGCUCAGGAUGAACGCUAGCGGCAGGCCUAAUACAUGCAAGUCGAACGGGAUCUAGAAGCUUGCUUUUAGUGAGAGUGGCGCACGGGUGCGUAACGCGUAUGCAACCUACCUUAUACAGGGGGAUAGCCCGGGGAAACUCGGAUUAAUACCCCAUGGUACAUUUGGAUGGCAUCAUUUAAAUGUUAAAGAUUUAUCGGUAUAAGAUGGGCAUGCGUAGGAUUAGCUAGUUGGUAAGGUAACGGCUUACCAAGGCAACGAUCCUUAGGGGUUCUGAGAGGAAGGUCCCCCACACUGGUACUGAGAUACGGACCAGACUCCUACGGGAGGCAGCAGUAGGGAAUAUUGGGCAAUGGUCGGAAGACUGACCCAGCCAUGCCGCGUGCAGGAAGACGGCCUUAUGGGUUGUAAACUGCUUUUAUCAGGGAAGAAAAAGGUCAUGCGUGACAAAUGGCCGUACCUGAUGAAUAAGCACCGUA
rnacentral:rRNA from 1 species